rnacentral:rRNA from 1 species
UACGUAGGAUGCAAGCGUUAAUCGGAAUUAGUGGGCGUAAAGCGUGCGCAGGCGGUUUUGGAAGUCUGUCGUGAAAGCCCCGGGCUCAACCUGGGAAUUGCGAUGGAGACUGCAAGGCUUGAAUCUGGCAGAGGGGGGUAGAAUUCCACGUGUAGCAGUGAAAUGCGUAGAGAUGUGGAGGAACACCGAUGGCGAAGGCAGCCCCCUGGGUCAAGAUUGACGCUCAUGCACGAAAGCGUGGGGAGCAAACAGG